rnacentral:rRNA from 1 species
GGUGAACGCUGGCGGCGUGCUUAAGACAUGCAAGUCGAACGCAGUCUUCGGACUGAGUGGCGCACGGGUGAGUAACACGUAACUGACCUACCCCCAAGUAGCGGAUAACUGGCCGAAAGGUCAGCUAAUACGUGAUGUGAUGUCCCCUUUCUGGGGGGCCAUUAAAGGUUUACGGCUUGGGGAUGGGGUUGCGUUCCAUCAGCUAGUUGGCGGGGUAAGGGCCCACCAAGGCAACGACGGAUAGCCGGCCUGGGAGGGUGGCCUGCCACAGGGGCACUGAGAAACGGGUCCCACUCCUACGGGAGGCAGCAGUUAGGAAUCUUCCACAAUGGGCGAAAGCCUGAUGGAGCGACGCCGCGUGAGGGAUGAAGGUUCUCGGAUCGUAAACCUCUGAAUCAGGGACGAAAGACGCGUAAGCGGGAUGACGGUACCUGAGUAAUAGCACCGGCUAACUCCGUGCCAGCCGCCGCCGUAA